UACGUAGGGUCCGAGCGUUGUCCGGAAUUACUGGGCGUAAAGAGCUCGUAGGUGGUUUGUCGCGUUGUUCGUGAAAACUCACAGCUCAACUGUGGGCGUGCGGGCGAUACGGGCAGACUGGAGUACUGCAGGGGAGACUGGAAUUCCUGGUGUAGCGGUGGAAUGCGCAGAUAUCAGGAGGAACACCGGUGGCGAAGGCGGGUCUCUGGGCCGAUACUGACGCUGAGGAGCGAAAGCGUGGGGAGCGAACAGG
rnacentral:rRNA from 1 species